rnacentral:rRNA from 1 species
CCUACGGGCGGCAGCAGUGAGGAAUAUUGGUCAAUGGACGUAAGGCUGAACCAGCCAAGUCGCGUGAAGGAUGACGGACCUAUGGUUUGUAAACUUCUUUUAUAGGGGAAUAAAGGUAUCCACGUGUGGAUAUUUGCAUGUACCCUAUGAAUAAGCAUCGGCUAACUCCGUGCCAGCAGCCGCGGUAAUACGGAGGAUGCGAGCGUUAUCCGGAUUUAUUGGGUUUAAAGGGAGCGUAGGUGGUUUUUUAAGUCAGUGGUGAAAGUUUGUGGCUCAACCAUAAAAUUGCAGUUGAAACUGGCAGACUUGAGUAUAUUUGAGGUAGGCGGAAUGCGUGGUGUAGCGGUGAAAUGCUUAGAUAUCACGCAGAACUCCGAUUGCGAAGGCAGCUUACUAAGCCGUAACUGACACUGAGGCACGAAAGCGUGGGGAUCAAACAGGAUUAGAUACCCCUGUAGUC